rnacentral:rRNA from 1 species
GGAGGAAAGCAGGGGAUCGUAAGACCUUGCGCUUUGGGAGCGGCCGAGGUCUGAUUAGCUAGUUGGUGGGGUAAUGGCCUACCAAAGCUUCGAUCAGUAGCUGGUCUGAGAGGGCGGCCAGCCACGCUGGGACUGAGACACGGCCCAGACUCCUACGGGAGGCAGCAGUGGGGAAUUUUGGACAAUGGGCGCAAGCCUGAUCCAGCCAUGCCGCGUGAGUGAAGAAGGCCUUCGGGUUGUAAAGCUCUUUCAGCCGGGAAGAAAAGGCUGCGAUUAAUAAUCGCAGUUCAUGACGGUACCGGAAGAAGAAGCACCGGCUAACUACGUGCCAGCAGCCGCGGUAAUACGUAGGGUGCGAGCGUUAAUCGGAAUUACUGGGCGUAAAGGGUGCGCAGGCGGUUUUGUAAGUCAGAUGUGA